AACGAACGCUGGCGGCAGGCCUAACACAUGCAAGUCGAACGAGAAGCCACCUUCGGGUGGUGGACAGUGGCAGACGGGUGAGUAACGCGUGGGAACGUGCCUUUCGGUUCGGGACAACCCAGGGAAACUUGGGCUAAUACCGGAUACGCCCUCGGGGAAGGAUCAUGCGAAGAUCGGCCCGCGUCGGAUUAGCUAGUUGGUGGGGUAAAGCCUACCAAGGCGACGAUCCGUAGCUGGUCUGAGAGGA
rnacentral:rRNA from 1 species